AACGUAGGGGGCGAGCGUUGUCCGGAUUUAUUGGGCGUAAAGAGCUCGUAGGCGGCUCAGUAAGUCAGGUGUGAAAACUCCAGGCUCAACCUGGAGACGCCACCUGAUACUGCUGUGGCUAGAGUCCGGUAGGGGAGCAUGGAAUUCCUGGUGUAGCGGUGAAAUGCGCAGAUAUCAGGAGGAACACCAGUGGCGAAGGCGGUGCUCUGGGCCGGAACUGACGCUGAGGAGCGAAAGCGUGGGGAGCAAACAGG
rnacentral:rRNA from 1 species